rnacentral:lncRNA from 1 species
GUCAACUUGCCUAUUCUUCUACUAUCCUUCAUUUGAUUGUUUGUCAUUGACACCACUGACUUUGAAACUAUCAAUGAGGAAAAUCUGUGCCCCCUGACCAUGUUGAUUAUGCUCUUCGGAUGUGCAAUAUAGCCUUUUGCUGUAAUAUCUUGUCAGAAGUGUGCAAAAUCUGGUGGCCACCUAGAGAAAUUGGUUAGUUGAGUUGGUGCUUGAUUUUACAAAUGAUUUCUCAACUGUCAAAUAAGCCUGUCCCAGAACUUUCAUGUUCUUGUAAAGUAAUAGAAAUGAAGGUUUGUUGAUUGAUUAGUCGUUCAGUGCUUAUUUCAGACUGCAUGGUAGCCGGCUUAAUAAUUCCUGACUUUGCACCAGGCCAUAGUUUCAAGUGCUAUUUUGAUCAAAAGAAACUAGUGAUAUUUGCAUUCAGCACUUGGCUGUUUCUUUGUUAAUUGCCAAAAAAAAAAAAGAUAGAAGCUUGCCAAUAUAGAGCUGAGAAUUUAAAUACCAUUCAUAUAGCAAGUGAUUCGACUAUAUCAGACUCGUAAACGACUGCAGACUCUGCAGUAUUCUAUUAUUUUUAUCAACUGAUCACAUGUUGAACAUUGUUCCAUAUAUAAUAUUUGACGGUCUUUACUUCUUAUAAAGAUGGAGUGGUCUUUACAUGUUGAACAUUGGUUUACGUAUAAUAUUUGACUUGUGCUUCGUGGUAAUACUUUCAGGCGUGGAAUCAUUUGACAUUGAUCUCAAGGAGCAGAAAGUGACAGUAAAGGGUAAUGUACAGCCUGAGGCAGUCCUUCAGACUGUUUCAAAGACCGGGAAGAAGACUUCUUUCUGGGAAGAAGGAGCAUCAGCUGCACCUGAAUCGAAGCCCGCAGAAACUGUUGCAGAAACCGAAUCAAAGCCCGCAGAAACUGUUGCAGAAACUGAAUCGAAGCCCGCAGAAACUGUUGCAGCUGCAUAAUUUGGGUCACUAGUGGCCAGAAAGCUGUUGCUUUCACUUAUUAUGUUACUCUUAAGGAGCUAAAAUGUAUGUUACGGGUCAACAAUAAUAAACAUGUACAAUACCUCGGUGUGUGGUGUUCAGUAUUCGCUAAUUAACUGUAAGCUCCAUUUAUCUUUUAUUUGAGAUGCUCCGUGCAACAGAAACUAGAAAGUGUUUUGGCUGUCUAAAUUUAUCAAGGUGCUGAUAUUCAUGUUGUAACUAAGUUGUUCAUUUGAUUUUGUGGUAUACUUCCAACAUCAGUAAAUCAGGAACCAAGGGAUACGAAGAGUGUCAAGGUCAUGCGAAACCAUGAAUUUCAUGUAAUGGUUCUUCUGGAUAGAUUGGCUAAAAAAAAGUUGUCGCUAGCCAUUCCCAACCAUAAAAAGCCAUGCAGGACCUUGAUAUUUGGAUUGGUUUUUUCCUCAGCCACCAUUAGUUGUUUCAAUUUUGAGUCACUUGAUUAUGGGGCCGUAGGUAGGAUAUAAUCGAGGACUUGGCUGGUAGUCUUCAAAAAAUCAAGAACCCAUAUGGAAGAUAUUUGCUGCCCAUCAUUAUUAUCUAUGGAUUUGGUCAUCUGCUCGCUUAUCAUUAAAUCCGUCAGUAUCGUCCUAGGCCAUGACCUUGUGCGUUAGCUAUAAUAUCAAUGAUUUAACAUGCAUGGGGUGAUGGUGCUUUGCAAAUGCAUUUCUGAUUUAUUUAUAUAUCUCCAAAAAAAAAAAAAAAAAGGUUUCGGAAGCGUAGCCAUUGCAAACUUAAAACUGGAAAAUCAGAAAACGGAGAUAAAUUUGCCGCCUUGAGCUUGGCAUCUAUAGACACGGCUAACUAACGUAUUGUUUUGGCAAGGAAAAGACAAGCUUCCAGCCUCGUAUGGCUUUUUUUUUUUCCUUUUCUUUUCUUUAAUUUGAUUACUUUUUCUCCACGCUUUCACGUACGUGCAGUUUUCAGCUACCAUAAGAGAUACUAAUAUGUCUAAUUGCUUGCAACAAUCCACUGUUUAGAGAAGAAAACAGAAAAAGGAAGUAGUUGUAAGGAAAAGAAAGAUGCCCAUUAAUUCCAUAACAGAACACCACAAUAACCAUCAUGCAGUCCUUUGCUUCCCUCUUGCAGAAUUGCGCCAAGCACAAGUCCAUUUUCAGCGGCAAAGCAGUUCAUGCUCAGCUAAUCAGGUCCGGAUUUAUCCCAGAUGUUUAUACAAACAAUCAUAUGCCCUCGUUGUACCUACAGUUGGGGCAGAUGGGCUAUGCUCAAACCGUGUUCGACAUAAUGCCAAAACGAAACGUUAUCACUUGGACGACGUUGAUUUGCUCGUUUUCUCAGAUGGAUCUCUCGGAAAAAGCCUUAAGUUGCCUUAGGUCAAUGGUUCUUGAAGGGUUUUUGCCGAACGAGCAUACUUAUGUUGGUGCUAUAUCUGCUUGUGUUAAUACAAGGGCUGUUAGUAUUGGGAAGGAAAUUCACGGGAGGAUAUAUAGGACUCAGGAUAGUUUGAAUAGCUUUGUCAGUAAUUCUUUGGUUAAUUUUUACGGCAAAUGUGAGUUGUUGAAGUCGCCUAGGCUUGCAUUUGCUGCUAUCUUGGAGCCUAAUUUGGUUGCCUGGGCUUCACUCAUAUCUUGUUGUUUUCAGUGUGGACAGAACGAGGAAGGUUUGAAAUUGUUCUUAAGGUCCUUGAGGGUGGGAAUGACUGUUAACGAGUUCACUUGUUCGAGUGUUCUGGGUGCUUGUACUAUGUUGGAAAUUUUGGAACUUGGGAAGCUACUCCACUGCCCAGUCGUUAAGUGUUGUAUUCCUGCACAAUUGUAUUCCUGCACAAAGGAAGUGUCAUCCCCUUUACCCUGCUCAAUGAAAACAACUAUGAUAUCCCUCUUCAGCAGAGACUUUAUCCAAUAAUCAUAAUUAACCAUCUCCCUUGUACUUUCUUACGCAUACCAGCUAUAUAUCCCUUAAAUUCUCUCUAUUUUCCAUCCAGUUAUAUAUAACAAUAUAAAAAUAAACAUAUCCAAAUUAUACCAAAUUAUUCAUUUACCUUAAAUUUUAAAAAAAUAAUUUACAUUUCAUUAUUUUAACUAAUAUUUCCAUCCAUUCUAAAUAUCAAUUAUUAAAUGAAUCUUACAUUACAUAUAUAUAUGUAUAUAUAUAUAUAUAUAUGUACACGCACAUAAACAAAUAAAUAAAUAUAAAAUAAACAAACAAAACCACAAAAUAUAUAAACACUACAAAAAUUUCAACUAUUCUAUCACCUAAAAUAAAAUACUAAACACACACACACACACAUAUACAUAAAUACAUACAUACAUACAUACAUAUCACAAAAUAUAUCAUAUACCUAUAACUACAUAUUAAUACAAAAUUCACUCCAACUUUAAAUAACAUAAAAUAACUCAUAUAAACAUCAAACAAUAAAUAUUAAAAAAAUUCUACCACAAAUUCCACUAAUUAAACUCUAAAUUUUCAUAUCCAAUAAUUUUUAUUUCUUAUAUAAAAAUUUAUACACAUCACCUUAACUUCAAUAAUAUCCAUUCAUCAAUAAACUAUUAAUAUAUCAACUCUCUCAGCUCUCAAAAUCAAUAUUAUCCUUUAUUCAUUCAAAUUCUAUUAAUCAAAUCAAUUUUACUAUAUUUAUUUAUAAAUAAAUAAAUCCAAUAUAUCAAUACUCUAUCCACUCUUCCAACCCCAUUAUCAUACAAAAUACUAUAAAUCUAUACUAUUAAAUAAAUCUUUCAUUACCCUAAUAUAUUUAAUAAUGGACUCCCCGCGGAAGCCGCGGGGCACCAAGCCUAGUGAUAAUUUUAAUUCAGUCAUCAGCAAUCAUGUCUCAGGUACUCCCUUCUUCUUCUUCUUCUUCUUCUUCCCUCCGAUUUCUUGUUUGGUAGCAUUCAUGAUUAGUUUUGUAAAUUCAGGUGGAAUCAGGUUGCGAAUGCUGGUCUGUUUGGAUUGUAAGUUAUUUGGGAUUAUUUGAGAUAUUUUUACUGUAACACUUUUUGUGAUGUGAUGUAUGUGAGAUAAAAAGAUAUUGGGAAGAUAAAAAGGUGUAUUGGAAAUUGUAAAUAUAAUGUAAGCAAAUAAAAUUGGAAAAAUAUGAAGCAAUCCAAACAAACCAUAAUCUCAUAGUUUAGCUAAAAGUUUCCCGUUAGUUGCCCUACCCGAAAUUUCUCGAAUUAGAACUGAUUUGGGUGCCCUAAGAUUUAAUCGGGGUAAUUUGCUUAGUUGAAAUUAGGCUAUUUUCCGUGUUCAUGUAAGAUAAUGUGGUUACUCAUCUGUUCUUGAAUAUUUAUGUAUGUAAAAGUGUCCCUUUUUUUUUUUUUUUUUUUUUUAAAUGUAAUACAACGCUUUAUCACCGCUAGCAUUUGGUUCUACCGAAGCAUCGAGCAGGCAAUUUGGAAGUAGCAUGGGAAUAUAAGCAAUGCUUUACUCGACUUGUAAUUCUGACCUUAAUAUUUCUCAUUUUCCAUGUUUGCAGACUGUUGUCCUCAAGGUUGGCAUGUCAUGCCAAGGCUGUGUUGGAGCUGUGAAUCGGGUGUUAAGCAAAAUGGAAGGUUUGUCAACUUGCCUAUUCUUCUACUAUCCUUCAUUUGAUUGUUUGUCAUUGACACCACUGACUUUGAAACUAUCAAUGAGGAAAAUCUGUGCCCCCUGACCAUGUUGAUUAUGCUCUUCGGAUGUGCAAUAUAGCCUUUUGCUGUAAUAUCUUGUCAGAAGUGUGCAAAAUCUGGUGGCCACCUAGAGAAAUUGGUUAGCUGAGUUGGUGCUUGAUUUUACAAAUGAUUUCUCAACUGUCAAAUAAGCCUGUCCCAGAACUUUCAUGUUCUUGUAAAGUAAUAGAAGUGAAGGUUUGUUGAUUGAUUAGUCGUUCAGUGCUUAUUUCAGACUGCAUGGUAGCCGGCUUAAUAAUUCCUGACUUUGCACCAGGCCAUAGUUUCAAGUGCUAUUUUGAUCAAAAGAAACUAGUGAUAUUUGCAUUCAGCACUUGGCUGUUUCUUUGUUAAUUGCCCAAAAAAAAAAGGAUAGAAGUUUGCCAAUAUAGAGCUGAGAAUUUAAAUACCAUUCAUAUAGCAAAUGAGUCGACUAUAUCAGACUCGUAUACCGCUGCAGACUCUGCAAUAUUCUAUUAUUUUUAUCAACUGAUCACAUGUUGAACAUUGUUCUAUAUAUAAUGUCAAGAAGAAAGUCUAGCCUAGAUUGCAUUUAGGGAGCCUUGUAGGAGAAGGAGAGAUGAGACUCUUGAAAGCAAUAUCGGAUGCUUGCACACACUUUUCGAGCUUUGGUUUCGGAUCCACUUAUAACCCCUAUGCAUUUGCCAUCGAGGAGUUUGCCUUUACUAAAUCGAGCACCACUUGUAAGUCAUUUUUUAACUCAAGGUGUGGGGGAAUGUCGGUUGGAACCCUUCUUCUUUUACCAACUGAGCUAUCAAAAAAUGUAGUAGUGAAGAAAGAAUUGGUGCGGAAAAUGGGAUGGCCCCCUCUUCUCAUCACAUUAAAGACGUGCGGCUCUAUAUAAGGCUCGUACUUCAGAGCAAGUGAAGAAAAAAUAAGAGUGCACGUUACCACUCUUGCAAGAAAAAUGGCCUAGCUAAGGCGCCUCUUAUUUAUUAAUAACUAAAGAAAAACUUUGAUAUAAGAAAGAUGCGCUCAAGCACCCAACCUAUAUAAGGGGUGCUUGGGCUCGAAAGCCGGCCUAACUCAGCAAGCAUCUUUCUUAGUAAUAUAGGUAGAGUUGGGGCCGUGCUUUCUGAGAUCUGUCAGGCUCCGGCCUAGCACCGCCACAAUGGCUUCAAGAGUCACCGGAAAGUUAACAGAAUGAGAGGAAAGAGAGAAAGGUAGGUAGAGGGAGAGAGAGAGGGAAAUAACAGAAAGAGGGAAGAAUUGGAAUUUGUUGAUUUCAGACAAUAAGAUCCUAACUGCCUAUUACAAUCCUCCGGUGGGUUAUUUAUGCAAUUAAGCUUUAACCGUCUUUAUUCACUACUAAUUGCCACUUAGUUGAACGACACCGUUUCUGGCAUCUGUGCCCUGUGCCUACCAAACGCUACGUUUUGUGAACAAAACGACAAUAGCUAACUUCUGAGUUCCUGACAAUCCCUCCCCCUUAAGCAAAGCUUGUCCUCAAGCUUGGAAUGCUGGAAACUGUUUGUCGAUGAAGUCCUUGUCUUCCCAAGAGGCCUCGGAUUCUGGUAGCUGAUCCCACUUCAUUAAGUACUGGAUGACCACGAUAGAGUUACGCCUGAUAGCUCGUCUUCUCAAGACUGCCUCAGGUUGAAGUAAGCAUUGGUCAGAGGAGUCCCAAGCAGGCAACAUAGGGUCAGUGCCCUGAGCAUCUCCAAUCCUUUUCUUUAACAGUGAAACAUGAAACACUGGAUGAACCUUAGCUCCAUCAGGUAACCGUAACCUAUAGGCCACCGCCCCUACCUUGGCAAUGAUCUGGAAAGGUCCAUAGUAUUUUGCUGUGAGCUUCAAACUUUUUCGAAGAGCCACCGUUUGUUGUCUAUAAGGUUGUAGUUUAAGAAACACCCAAUCCCCCACUUGAAGUGUACGUUCCGAUCUAUGUCUGUCAGCAAAGAGUUUCAUGCGGUUCUGUGCCUUUGCCAAAUUCUCCUUGAUGAGCGAAAUGACCUGGAGCCUAUCCUGCACCAGGUCAGUUGCAGCUGGGAUAACACUGUCGUGGAAAGGCCCCAAGGGAAUGUGGUUGGGCUUGUAUCCAUACAAUGCCUCAAAUGGAGUAAUCUGUAAGCUGGUGUGGAAGUUGGUGUUGUACCAAAGCUCAGCUGUGGGUAGCCAUCUACUCCAUUGAGAGGGGUGUUCACUGCACAUACACCUAAGAUAUGUUUCCAGGCAUUGGUUCACGCGCUCACUCUGACCAUCAGACUGGGGAUGGUAGGAUGAGCUAUAAUGCAGGCCAACUCCCAACAGAUGGAACAACUCUUGCCAAAACCUGCUAACAAAAAUUUUAUCCCUAUCUGAAAUCACAGAUUCUGGUAGUCCAUGAAGCCUAUAAAUCUGGUCAAGGAAGACCUGGGCUAUCUGUUGCGCAGUGAAAAGAUGUGUGAGACGAAUGAAGUGACUGAAUUUUGUCAGUCGAUCCACCACUACUAAGAUAGUGUCACAACCAUGAGAUAGGGGCAGCUGCUCAAUGAAAUCCAUGGAUAUGUGGGACCAUGCCUGUUGUGGAACUGGGAUAGGUUGCAAAAGUCCAGGAUAGGGAACAUUCUCAUGCUUGUUCCUUUGGCAUACAUCACAAGACCUGACAAAAGUGACAACAUCCUGCUUGAGCCCCGGCCAAAAAAAUAAAGUUUGUAUCCUGUGUAGACAUCCCCUUUGGCCAGAAUGCCCCCCUACUGCUGAGUCAUGUAGAGCCUUGAUCACCUUGCCACGAAUACUAUUAGCAGAUCCCACAUAUAAUCUAUCUUUAAACUUGAGCAUUCCCUUAUCCAAGUGAUAGUCUGAUACUGCAUUGGGGUCUAACAGGAGCUGAGCUAUCUUCUACUGAGCUUCAUUAUCCCCCUCAUAGCUUGCAACCAACUCCUGCAUCCAUGUUGGUUGGACUGAGGAAAUUGCACACAUGGUACAAUUUACUGCUACGUCCCCCUGAGGGUGUUCAAACUUCCUCCUGGAUAGCGCAUCUGCCACCCCAUUUCAGCUCCUUUUUUGUACUGGAUUUCGUAGUCCAGGCCAAGUAAUUUGGUGAGCCAUUUAUGUUGCAGGGGGUGCGUGAGCUUCUGCUCCAGCAAGUGUUUGAGAGCUUGGUGGUCAGUUUUGAUGACAAAAUGAUGGCCCACCAAGUAGUGUUUCCAUUUGGUCACGGCUAGCACCAGAGCAAAUAGCUCCUUCUCAUAAACAGAUAACCCCAAGUUCUGGCUGGAUAGAGCUUUGCUGAGGAAAGCUAUAGGGUGUCCAUGUUGCAUUAGCACUGCUCCAAUCCCUACCCCACAAGCAUCAGUCUCUAUGACAAAAGGAAUUUCAAAAUCUGGCAUACUGAGUACUGGAGCUGUGGUCAUAGCUCUUUUGAGGUCUUCAAAAGCCAUCUGAGCAUGAUGGUUCCACCCAAAACUCUCCUUCUUCAGUAGCUGAGUUAAAGGCUUGCAAAUCACACCAUACCCCUUUAUAAAUCUUCUGUAAUAUCCAGUCAGCCCCAAGAAUCCCCUUAAUUCCUUAACUGAGUUAGGAGUGGGCCAAGACAGGAUACAUCCCACCUUAUCUGGGUCCAUGUUGACACCAACCUCAGAAAUCACAUGCCCCAAAUACUCCAUGGAUGUCUGAGCAAAAGAGCAUUUUGACUUUUUACAGUAUAACUGGUUAUCCGCUAAGAUUUGGAGUACAAUUUUUAGGUGCUGCGCAUGUGACUCUAGAGUGGGACUGUAGACCAAGAUGUCAUCAAAAAAUACCAAUACAAAUUUUCUCAGGAAUGGCUGGAAAAUCCUAUUCAUCAAAGCCUGAAAUGUAGCUGGUGCGUUUGUUAGGCCAAAAGGCAUUACUAGAAAUUCAAAGUGCCCAUGGUGUGUUUGGAAAGCAGUCUUGGGAAUGUCUGCUACCUUGACCCUCAACUGAUGGUACCCAGCCCUGAGGUCUAACUUAGACAUAAAUUUGGUGCCAUGUAACUCAUCUAGCAAUUCAUCAAUAUUGGGGAUGGGAAAUCUAUCCUUGACAGUCACCUCAUUGAGCUUCCUGUAGUCUAUACAUAAUCUCCAAGUGCCAUCUUUUUUUUUAACUAACAAGACAGGGGAAGCAAAAGGACUAGUACUGUGUUUAACAAUUCCAUUCGUAAGCAUUUCUGCAACCUGCUUCUCAAUUUCUGCUUUAUGGGAGUGGGGAUACCUGUAAGGCUUGAGUUUAAAUGGUUCUGCCCCUGGUUUGAGAGGGAUUUGGUGAUCCAGCUCCCUUUCUGGAGGUAGUCCCGUUGGAGUAGCAAAGAUCUGUGGAAACUGCUGUAAGACCUGUUCCACCAACUCUGGGAUGUCCUUCUGAAGGUCUUUGGUGGAGUUCGUCUGCAGGUGUGCACAACUCUUCUUUCGUUCUUGGAUGAAGGAUCUGAGGUCCCUUCCCCUCACAAGCUCCAUCGUAGGUUGAUUUAUGAACCCUUGGAGGUGGAGUAAUUGCCCUCGAUCACUGAGUGCUAUGCUGAGAGUGUGGAAGUCAAAGGUGAUUGGACUGAACUGACACAUCCAGUCAACCCCCAGGAUGAUAUCCCAACCUCCUAGUUCCAUUAUCUUCAUGUCAAACUGAAAUUUGUAGUCUUGUAUCCUCCAGGCUACCUUAGGACAGGCUGUCCCACUGGUGAUGUCUGUCCCAUUGGCUAAAGUCACAAUAAAAGGAUUCACAGAUUGAUAAGGUAAAUGCAGUAAGGUAACAAUUCUAUGGUUGAUGAAACUGUCAGAACUCCCGGUGUCCACUAGUAUUUUAAUUGGUAAGCCACCUAUACUGCCAAUUAGCAUGAUGGACUUCCUCUGAAUGGCACCAGACAAGGCAUUCAGUGAUACUUCAGCCGUCUCUCCAACUCUGCCAGUAAACUCAUCCUGUUCCCCCACUGCAUCCUCAAAAUCAUUCUCUUCUUCCUCUUCCUCUUCCACACUAACGCAGUUCAAACCUCUUGUCCUGCACUGGUGUCCCAACCCAAACUUCUCUCCACACCUGUAGCAUAGGUUGUUUUUGCGCCUGUACUGCAGCUCUUCUGCUGAAAGUCUUCCUACCUCCUUGUGUGCAACUUCGGUCCUUCUAGAGUUAGGAGUUAUCGCAGGAAGCCUGUAAGAAUUAGGUAGAUUCUGUCCACCAGGUUGCCCCUUGUACAUCCCAAACUUAGGCUCCAUGGCAAUCUUGCCAGAAUUUUUAGUCUGCUUACAUUGCACCUCCAGUGCAUACUCCUGCAACUCUGCUACUUCAAAUGCUUUGGUCAAUGUCUGUGGUCGAAACAUCUUUACCAUGGGCUUGAUCUCCUCUUUUAACCCACUGAUAAAGCUGGAAACAAAAUAGGACUCAUCUAAUCUGGGGUUCUUGGUUAACAUCAAAGUUUUUAAUUCUUCAAAUUUUUCCUCAUACUCCUCCACUGUCCCCACUUGUUGCAGCUUGUUAAAUUCUUCUACGAUGUCGAGCGAUCCCUUGCCAGAGAAACGCUCACAUAGCAACUCGCUAAACUCUUCCCAAUUUAGCCCAGGUAUAGCUAAUUUCACCCCUUGGAACCAAUUAUCGGCUUUGCCUUCUAAGAACAUCUCCACUAAAUCCACUUUCUGGCAAGCAGGUAUGUGAUAGUUCAAAAAAUAUUUAUGACAUUUCCUAAGCCAUUCCCUUGGAUUCCCUGCCAUAAACAUCGGCAAAUCUAAUCUAGGUAAAUUGGGGGUGAACAUCCUACCUCUGGACUCCUGCUGUUGGCCGGCCAUUUCAGCCUGAGUCGCCAGUCGGACAUGCGAGGGUGGUGUAGGUAGAAGAGGUUCGGAAGGUCCUCCUUCAUUCUCCUGGCCUCCCUUGUCCUUCAUCAUCACUUUCAUUAACGCGUUGAACUUUUGCUCCAACUUGCAGAACUUCUGGUCCAGAUUUCCCACCACCGACUCCAGUCUCGAGUUGCUCUUCUCCAUUUCCUCAUUGAGUCUCUGUUGUAGCUCAUUCUGCGCCGACGUGUGCAGAGCAACCAUGGAUUCGGCCAAUUCCUGGAGCUUACUCUCCUGUUUCUUCAGCUGAUCCUCCAAGGAUCGGUAUCUCGUGCCUUCCGCCAUGGCAGGUCUUCUUCCUCAGCAGCCAAGGAUCGGCUGCUCUGAUACCAACUGUCAGGCUCCGGCCUAGCACCGCCACAAUGGCUUCAAGAGUCACCGGAAAGUUAACAGAAUGAGAGGAAAGAGAGAAAGGUAGGUAGAGGGAGAGAGAGAGGGAAAUAACAGAAAGAGGGAAGAAUUGGAAUUUGUUGAUUUCAGACAAUAAGAUCCUAACUGCCUAUUACAAUCCUCCGGUGGGUUAUUUAUGCAAUUAAGCUUUAACCGUCUUUAUUCACUACUAAUUGCCACUUAGUUGAACGACACCGUUUCUGGCAUCUGUGCCCUGUGCCUACCAAACGCUACGUUUUGUGAACAAAACGACAAUAGCUAACUUCUGAGUUCCUGACAAUCCCUCCCCCUUAAGCAAAGCUUGUCCUCAAGCUUGGAAUGCUGGAAACUGUUUGUCGAUGAAGUCCUUGUCUUCCCAAGAGGCCUCGGAUUCUGGUAGCUGAUCCCACUUCAUUAAGUACUGGAUGACCACGAUAGAGUUACGCCUGAUAGCUCGUCUUCUCAAGACUGCCUCAGGUUGAAGUAAGCAUUGGUCAGAGGAGUCCCAAGCAGGCAACAUAGGGUCAGUGCCCUGAGCAUCUCCAAUCCUUUUCUUUAACAGUGAAACAUGAAACACUGGAUGAACCUUAGCUCCAUCAGGUAACCGUAACCUAUAGGCCACCGCCCCUACCUUGGCAAUGAUCUGGAAAGGUCCAUAGUAUUUUGCUGUGAGCUUCAAACUUUUUCGAAGAGCCACCGUUUGUUGUCUAUAAGGUUGUAGUUUAAGAAACACCCAAUCCCCCACUUGAAGUGUACGUUCCGAUCUAUGUCUGUCAGCAAAGAGUUUCAUGCGGUUCUGUGCCUUUGCCAAAUUCUCCUUGAUGAGCGAAAUGACCUGGAGCCUAUCCUGCACCAGGUCAGUUGCAGCUGGGAUAACACUGUCGUGGAAAGGCCCCAAGGGAAUGUGGUUGGGCUUGUAUCCAUACAAUGCCUCAAAUGGAGUAAUCUGUAAGCUGGUGUGGAAGUUGGUGUUGUACCAAAGCUCAGCUGUGGGUAGCCAUCUACUCCAUUGAGAGGGGUGUUCACUGCACAUACACCUAAGAUAUGUUUCCAGGCAUUGGUUCACGCGCUCACUCUGACCAUCAGACUGGGGAUGGUAGGAUGAGCUAUAAUGCAGGCCAACUCCCAACAGAUGGAACAACUCUUGCCAAAACCUGCUAACAAAAAUUUUAUCCCUAUCUGAAAUCACAGAUUCUGGUAGUCCAUGAAGCCUAUAAAUCUGGUCAAGGAAGACCUGGGCUAUCUGUUGCGCAGUGAAAAGAUGUGUGAGACGAAUGAAGUGACUGAAUUUUGUCAGUCGAUCCACCACUACUAAGAUAGUGUCACAACCAUGAGAUAGGGGCAGCUGCUCAAUGAAAUCCAUGGAUAUGUGGGACCAUGCCUGUUGUGGAACUGGGAUAGGUUGCAAAAGUCCAGGAUAGGGAACAUUCUCAUGCUUGUUCCUUUGGCAUACAUCACAAGACCUGACAAAAGUGACAACAUCCUGCUUGAGCCCCGGCCAAAAAAAUAAAGUUUGUAUCCUGUGUAGACAUCCCCUUUGGCCAGAAUGCCCCCCUACUGCUGAGUCAUGUAGAGCCUUGAUCACCUUGCCACGAAUACUAUUAGCAGAUCCCACAUAUAAUCUAUCUUUAAACUUGAGCAUUCCCUUAUCCAAGUGAUAGUCUGAUACUGCAUUGGGGUCUAACAGGAGCUGAGCUAUCUUCUACUGAGCUUCAUUAUCCCCCUCAUAGCUUGCAACCAACUCCUGCAUCCAUGUUGGUUGGACUGAGGAAAUUGCACACAUGGUACAAUUUACUGCUACGUCCCCCUGAGGGUGUUCAAACUUCCUCCUGGAUAGCGCAUCUGCCACCCCAUUUCAGCUCCUUUUUUGUACUGGAUUUCGUAGUCCAGGCCAAGUAAUUUGGUGAGCCAUUUAUGUUGCAGGGGGUGCGUGAGCUUCUGCUCCAGCAAGUGUUUGAGAGCUUGGUGGUCAGUUUUGAUGACAAAAUGAUGGCCCACCAAGUAGUGUUUCCAUUUGGUCACGGCUAGCACCAGAGCAAAUAGCUCCUUCUCAUAAACAGAUAACCCCAAGUUCUGGCUGGAUAGAGCUUUGCUGAGGAAAGCUAUAGGGUGUCCAUGUUGCAUUAGCACUGCUCCAAUCCCUACCCCACAAGCAUCAGUCUCUAUGACAAAAGGAAUUUCAAAAUCUGGCAUACUGAGUACUGGAGCUGUGGUCAUAGCUCUUUUGAGGUCUUCAAAAGCCAUCUGAGCAUGAUGGUUCCACCCAAAACUCUCCUUCUUCAGUAGCUGAGUUAAAGGCUUGCAAAUCACACCAUACCCCUUUAUAAAUCUUCUGUAAUAUCCAGUCAGCCCCAAGAAUCCCCUUAAUUCCUUAACUGAGUUAGGAGUGGGCCAAGACAGGAUACAUCCCACCUUAUCUGGGUCCAUGUUGACACCAACCUCAGAAAUCACAUGCCCCAAAUACUCCAUGGAUGUCUGAGCAAAAGAGCAUUUUGACUUUUUACAGUAUAACUGGUUAUCCGCUAAGAUUUGGAGUACAAUUUUUAGGUGCUGCGCAUGUGACUCUAGAGUGGGACUGUAGACCAAGAUGUCAUCAAAAAAUACCAAUACAAAUUUUCUCAGGAAUGGCUGGAAAAUCCUAUUCAUCAAAGCCUGAAAUGUAGCUGGUGCGUUUGUUAGGCCAAAAGGCAUUACUAGAAAUUCAAAGUGCCCAUGGUGUGUUUGGAAAGCAGUCUUGGGAAUGUCUGCUACCUUGACCCUCAACUGAUGGUACCCAGCCCUGAGGUCUAACUUAGACAUAAAUUUGGUGCCAUGUAACUCAUCUAGCAAUUCAUCAAUAUUGGGGAUGGGAAAUCUAUCCUUGACAGUCACCUCAUUGAGCUUCCUGUAGUCUAUACAUAAUCUCCAAGUGCCAUCUUUUUUUUUAACUAACAAGACAGGGGAAGCAAAAGGACUAGUACUGUGUUUAACAAUUCCAUUCGUAAGCAUUUCUGCAACCUGCUUCUCAAUUUCUGCUUUAUGGGAGUGGGGAUACCUGUAAGGCUUGAGUUUAAAUGGUUCUGCCCCUGGUUUGAGAGGGAUUUGGUGAUCCAGCUCCCUUUCUGGAGGUAGUCCCGUUGGAGUAGCAAAGAUCUGUGGAAACUGCUGUAAGACCUGUUCCACCAACUCUGGGAUGUCCUUCUGAAGGUCUUUGGUGGAGUUCGUCUGCAGGUGUGCACAACUCUUCUUUCGUUCUUGGAUGAAGGAUCUGAGGUCCCUUCCCCUCACAAGCUCCAUCGUAGGUUGAUUUAUGAACCCUUGGAGGUGGAGUAAUUGCCCUCGAUCACUGAGUGCUAUGCUGAGAGUGUGGAAGUCAAAGGUGAUUGGACUGAACUGACACAUCCAGUCAACCCCCAGGAUGAUAUCCCAACCUCCUAGUUCCAUUAUCUUCAUGUCAAACUGAAAUUUGUAGUCUUGUAUCCUCCAGGCUACCUUAGGACAGGCUGUCCCACUGGUGAUGUCUGUCCCAUUGGCUAAAGUCACAAUAAAAGGAUUCACAGAUUGAUAAGGUAAAUGCAGUAAGGUAACAAUUCUAUGGUUGAUGAAACUGUCAGAACUCCCGGUGUCCACUAGUAUUUUAAUUGGUAAGCCACCUAUACUGCCAAUUAGCAUGAUGGACUUCCUCUGAAUGGCACCAGACAAGGCAUUCAGUGAUACUUCAGCCGUCUCUCCAACUCUGCCAGUAAACUCAUCCUGUUCCCCCACUGCAUCCUCAAAAUCAUUCUCUUCUUCCUCUUCCUCUUCCACACUAACGCAGUUCAAACCUCUUGUCCUGCACUGGUGUCCCAACCCAAACUUCUCUCCACACCUGUAGCAUAGGUUGUUUUUGCGCCUGUACUGCAGCUCUUCUGCUGAAAGUCUUCCUACCUCCUUGUGUGCAACUUCGGUCCUUCUAGAGUUAGGAGUUAUCGCAGGAAGCCUGUAAGAAUUAGGUAGAUUCUGUCCACCAGGUUGCCCCUUGUACAUCCCAAACUUAGGCUCCAUGGCAAUCUUGCCAGAAUUUUUAGUCUGCUUACAUUGCACCUCCAGUGCAUACUCCUGCAACUCUGCUACUUCAAAUGCUUUGGUCAAUGUCUGUGGUCGAAACAUCUUUACCAUGGGCUUGAUCUCCUCUUUUAACCCACUGAUAAAGCUGGAAACAAAAUAGGACUCAUCUAAUCUGGGGUUCUUGGUUAACAUCAAAGUUUUUAAUUCUUCAAAUUUUUCCUCAUACUCCUCCACUGUCCCCACUUGUUGCAGCUUGUUAAAUUCUUCUACGAUGUCGAGCGAUCCCUUGCCAGAGAAACGCUCACAUAGCAACUCGCUAAACUCUUCCCAAUUUAGCCCAGGUAUAGCUAAUUUCACCCCUUGGAACCAAUUAUCGGCUUUGCCUUCUAAGAACAUCUCCACUAAAUCCACUUUCUGGCAAGCAGGUAUGUGAUAGUUCAAAAAAUAUUUAUGACAUUUCCUAAGCCAUUCCCUUGGAUUCCCUGCCAUAAACAUCGGCAAAUCUAAUCUAGGUAAAUUGGGGGUGAACAUCCUACCUCUGGACUCCUGCUGUUGGCCGGCCAUUUCAGCCUGAGUCGCCAGUCGGACAUGCGAGGGUGGUGUAGGUAGAAGAGGUUCGGAAGGUCCUCCUUCAUUCUCCUGGCCUCCCUUGUCCUUCAUCAUCACUUUCAUUAACGCGUUGAACUUUUGCUCCAACUUGCAGAACUUCUGGUCCAGAUUUCCCACCACCGACUCCAGUCUCGAGUUGCUCUUCUCCAUUUCCUCAUUGAGUCUCUGUUGUAGCUCAUUCUGCGCCGACGUGUGCAGAGCAACCAUGGAUUCGGCCAAUUCCUGGAGCUUACUCUCCUGUUUCUUCAGCUGAUCCUCCAAGGAUCGGUAUCUCGUGCCUUCCGCCAUGGCAGGUCUUCUUCCUCAGCAGCCAAGGAUCGGCUGCUCUGAUACCAACUGUCAGGCUCCGGCCUAGCACCGCCACAAUGGCUUCAAGAGUCACCGGAAAGUUAACAGAAUGAGAGGAAAGAGAGAAAGGUAGGUAGAGGGAGAGAGAGAGGGAAAUAACAGAAAGAGGGAAGAAUUGGAAUUUGUUGAUUUCAGACAAUAAGAUCCUAACUGCCUAUUACAAUCCUCCGGUGAGUUAUUUAUGCAAUUAAGCUUUAACCGUCUUUAUUCACUACUAAUUGCCACUUAGUUGAACGACACCGUUUCUGGCAUCUGUGCCCUGUGCCUACCAAACGCUACGUUUUGUGAACAAAACGACAAUAGCUAACUUCUGAGUUCCUGACAAGAUCCCGCUCAACCCUAUCCUAAAAGGGGCCCUUGUAGAGUUUUUGCAUAGAGAAGCGACAUCCUUGGAUCUCAAAUUGUUCCUUGAUGAAGAAUAUAUAUAUAUAUAUAUAUAUAUAUAUAUAUUACGAUUUGGAGCUCUGUAGACAAAGAAAUGACCAAAAUAUCUUUAACUGGUCAAUCCCUUGUGUCAAUUUUCGACAACAAAAAUGGCCAACCGUAUUUUGACUUUUUAACUAUGAAAACUCAUGAACUGGAUUUCAAGGUCUUCGCAUCAUUCUGAGGUGUAAGUGGGAGAGAUAGGAUGUCAUAAUUGGGGUUUUGAAUAAGACAAUCUUUUUCUUUUUCAUUUUUUCAUGUUAGCUGUAAAAGGGCUAAAAAAUUACCUCAAUCUGAUACUUGUAACUCAACAUAUAGCCAAAAUACCAACAUGUGUCAAAGCUAUUGAUAAUGAGCUCAUGACUGACCAAACACCUCCAAGGUUAACAAUCCAAGUUCAAGCAAUGAUCAAAUUGUUCUUGUUGAUCUUGGUCCCUAACUUUUGAUAUUUACAAAAAUAAUUGGAUGAUACUAAUAUCUCUUCAAGAAAUAUUUUCAGCUAUGAAGCAAAUCUAAUUCAAAGAUCAAGAGCAUUUGAAAGAGAUAAAGGAAGUUGAAAGCUGUCGGACGCUCGCAAAGACAACAUCGGACGUCCAAUAACAAUGUAGCACUUUGGACGCAUGAAAAACUCAAUCACCGGACGUCUGAAAGAAUUAAGAUAUUCCCUCACACUCACUGUCUGUUUUCGAAAGCAAAGCAUUAGAGGUACCGGACGUCCGAAAGAAUUGAAGAAAAUUUUUCAAAUUCACCAUCUGCUUUUGGACGUAAGCAUCAGAGAUACCGGACGUCCAAAAGAAUUGAAAGAAAUUCUUCAAAUUCACUGCCUGCUGUCAGACGCAAGUGUCGAAAGUACCAGACGUCCGAUACUCCCAACGACUAGUUGAAUUUUCAGCUGCCUUCUAUCCGUUGGAAGUAUUAAUAGAGCACUUUUUGGUCUCAUAUAAAUAGUACAUAGUCAACAACUUAAGAAGAACUUUUGCACAUUGAGAAUACAAAAGAUCAAGAGUAGUUUUAGUGAGAAAGCACUCUACAAGAAAGAUUUGUACUCUUUGUUGUGUAAAAUUCAUGUAAACUUUUCUUGUGUGAGAAAAAUACUUCAAUAGUAUAGGUUUGUGAGAGUUAUCCUGAGUGAUAGUAAAACUUCCUAACUUGACCGAGUGUAAAUUGGGGUAUGGAGGAAGUGAUCCUUCUUUUGUACACAAAGAUUGGUUGUAUUUCAUCAAAUUGAAUAAAGUUGUUCUAUAAAGUGAUAUUCAAGCUCAAGAAGAGUUUGAAAGUCAAAUUAGUUUGCUAUUCUUCCCUUAUUAUUUACUAUCUUGUGAACCUUAAUUGCUUAUCUCCUUUACUCUCAAGCAAUCUUGCUCUCUUACUAAUUGUUUCAUUGAGUGGUCACCUAGAAAAUAGGGCAAAUUUCAUAUUGAACAAAAAAAACGUCUCAUAACCUAAUUAGAUUUUAAAUAACCCAAUUCACUCCCCUUUUAGGUUGUUUUCAAUUCUUACAACUGGUAUCAGAGUUUGAUUUUCUAGAGAUUAAGCUCAAGCGACUUAGGAGUAAAUAUGACAACCAACAAUAUCAUAUUUUUUGAAGGACAAUCUGUCACUAGACCACCAAUAUUCAAUGGGUCAAAUUAUGUGAGUUGGAAGGAAAUAAUGAUUAUCUUCUUGCAAUCGAUUGAUAUUAAUUUGUGGUUUAUUGUAAAUGAAGGUCCAUAUGAUGUCUCUACAAUUGAUAAAGUUACUCAUAGACCAAAACCAAAAACAAGAAUUGAACUGACUACUGAAGAUAGAGCUCACCUCACCUUAAAUGCUAAACCUAUAAAUGUGCUAUAUAGUGAUUUAGACUCAAAUGAAUCCAUCAGCGUCAAAGGUUGUAAGUCUGCUAAAGAGAUUUGGGAUAAAUUGAGAGAAAUUCAUAAAGUGAGUGAGAAUGUAAGAGAACAAAAGAAAUCUAUUUUAGUUACUAAAUAUGAAUCAUUUAAGAUGGAAUCUCAUGAAAAUAUUGACAAAAUGUAUUGUAAAUUCAAUGAUCUCAUUAAUGAUUUCGAAAUAUUGAAAAAGAAAUACUCCUUAUGAGAGAAAAACAGAAAAAUCUUGAAUGUUUUAUCUAAAGAUUGGAAAAAUAAGGUGACUGCUAUUGAAGAGACUAAAAAUUUAAAUACGAUGCCUAUUGAAUCACUUAUUAAUUCUCUAAUCUCUUAUGAGGUGAAACUUAAGACUAAAGUAUAAGAGGAAGAAGAUGCAAAGGUAAGAAGGAGCAUUACUCUAAAAGCAUCUCAAGAUGAAAAUGACUCGGCUUCCUUGGAUGGAGAAGAUGUAGAUAUUGACGACAUUGAUCUUGCUCUUAUCACAAGAAAUUUCAAGAGAAUUCUCAACAAAAGAAGAUUUAGAAAAGUAUGACCUAGCAAUUCAUUUCCAAAUCAAUUCAACAAUGCAAGAAACAAAGGAAUGCAAGAAGCCAAUAAAAAGCAAACUGACAAAUGCUAUGAAUGCGACUAACUUGGAUACUACAUGAGCGAGUGCCCAAUAAAGAAGAAAAAAGAAGGAAAAGUUGAACGAAAACCAAAAUUCGACAACUUUCAAAUUACAUUGAAUGAUUGCAACUCAGAUGGUGACAUUGAAGAGGAAGAGGAAUCUGCGCAAAUGACUUUCAUGGCCAUUGGUGAUGAUGAGGUAACUACUUGUAACUCUCAACUUGUUAGUGAUGAUGAAUCUGAUGAUGAUAUUAAAUCCUUCAUUGAGAGACUGCAUGCUAACUUGAAAGAAUCUUAUGCUAUAAACAAGGAGUUAAAACAAAAAAUUAACUUUCUGCUUCAAGAUAGUGCAAACCUAUUUCAACAAAAUAAAAAAUUGAAAACUGAAAUGACUACUUCAAAAAGGGUGAGACUGAUCUACUCAUUGAGCUUGAUAGAAAAAUAAAGGCUGCGUUUGGAUUGAGUGUUUUUACACCUGUUUUUGAAAAACUGUUUUUCACAUUCCAAAUGCUACAGUAAUGUGUAUUUCAAAAACAACUUCAAAAACACCAUAUCCAAACAAUAUAUCAAAAACAACUCCAAAUAUAUUUCAAUUAUGUAUAUUUAAUUUGUAUAUUUUAAUAAGUAUAUUUCAAUUUGUAUAUUUUAAUUAUGUAUUUUAAUAUGUAUAUUUCAAUUAUAUUUUAAUAUGUAUAUUUCAAUUAUGUAUAUUAUAUAUAUAUUAUAUUAAUAUAAAUAUAUUUAUUUCAAUUAUGUAUAAUAUUAUAUAUAUUAUAUCAAUUGAAAUAAAUAUUAUAUAUUUAUAUAAAUACAUUUAUUUAUAUAUAAAUUUAUAAAUAUAUUUAUUCAAUUUUGUUUUAUAAUAUAUAUUAAUAUAUGUUAAUAUGUAUAUUUCAAUUAUGUAUAUUAUACAUAAAUUAUAUUAAUAAUAAUGUAUAUUAUAUAUAUUAUACAUUUAUAUUAAUAUACAUAAUAUUAAUUUUACAUUUAUACAUAAUAUUAAUACAUGUAUACAUUUAUAUUAAUUAUAUUAAUACAUUUCUACAUAAUAUUAAUAUAUAUUUAUAAUUUAUUAAUUUAUACAUUUAUAUUAUAUACUAAUAUAUAUAUUAAUACAUUUAUACAUUUAUACAUUUAUAUUAAUAUACAUAAUAUUAAUUUUACAUUUAUACAUAAUAUCAAUACAUAUAUACAUUUAUAUUAAUUAUAUAAAUACAUUUCUACAUAAUAUUAAUAUAUAUUUAUAGUAUAAUAUAUUAAUUUAUACAUUUAUAAUAAUAUACACUUAUAAUUUAUAAUAUAUUUAUAAUAUUCAUUUAUAAUUUAUACAUUUAUAAUAAUAUACACUUAUACAUUUAUAAAUAUAUUUAUAUUAUGUAUUAUAUAUAAUAUAAUACAUUUAUAUAUUUUUAUAUGAAUAUAUAAAUAUAUUUAUUUAUAAAUAUCUAUAAAUGUAUUAUAAAUGCAUAAAUGCAUAUUUAUAUAAAAAUAUAAAAAUUAUAAUUUAUAAUUUAUUCAUUUAUAAUAAUAUACAUCUAUACAUUUGUAAAUAUAAAUAGAUUAUAAAUGCAUAAAUGUAUAUUUAUAUAAAAAUAUAAAAAUUAUAAUAUUCUAAAAAUACUCAAAAAUAUGUUUCAAAAAUACCUCUAAAAAUAAUUCAAAAAAAUCUACAGUAAAAGUUUUUCAUAUAGUUUUUGAAAAACAACCCCAAAAACAACUAAUCCAAACGGACUUGUUUUUCAGAUUCAAAAUGCUACAGUGGUGUUUUUGAAAAACAAACCCAAAAACAGCUAAUCCAAACGGAGUCAAAGUUUUGUGAAAUGUUCAAAAAGAAAUAAGGUGAUUUAAAAAAAAAUAAUGGACAAUCUAAAUGAGUUGCUCAAACAAAAAAAACAAAGCUGUUUUCAAGAAAUAGUUCAAAACCUCAUCUUGGCAUUCAUGAGAAAAAGUUAAAUUCUAGUGCAAAUGAAUUUAUUGUUUACAAGAGAAGACAAGUAAGAUUUGUUAAACAUGCCCAUACAAGUAACUUAUUGAUUAUGUAUAGUUUUUGUUGUCAAAUAGGUCACAUGAAAAGUAAUUACUAUGUGAGAAAGAACAUGAGAAAACGCAUGAAAUGUAUGUGGAUAGUUAGACAUGAUACUAACUCUCGAGUAUCCAAAAAUUAAAGGGAAACUGGUAAGACCAUGCGAUCGUAAGAUGAUGUAUGAAUAGGAAACUAAUAUAGAUGAUGUCCGUGGGAAUUAAACUGCCUAAACAUCCCUUUAUAUACAUACAUGUGGGAUGGCUAAAGCGGGCCGGGGGUCAUGUUUUAGACAAGGCUUCCACCCAGAAAAAAAUGGCUUGCUUUAUUUCAUAGAAUGCCUUAUGGUUCAGGAGCUUGAUUAGGCAAAGAAUGCAACCCCUGAAGCUUAAAGGCCUGAAUCUGGAGAAGCUUUUUACCAAUUACCAUAUGUUCUUUCACGAGAUUUUCAUAUUUACAGUGUAUUCCGUAUGAAGAGGCUUGCACGUAUUGCUGCUAGUGCAUCAAGGGCUUCAAAUUUCAACCAACCAUAUAGGCUAUCAAAGUUGCUCUCUGAUAAAUUGUUGAACCCGUUUCCAUUUUUUCUUUAGCCCCUUUUUCCUUUGGAAAGAAAGGGUGAGGCCACAGGCGGAAAGCAAGCGUUUUCUAUUUUAAGUAACGUCUUUCCUUCUUUUUUAUCUAUUUUGUGUUUCUUGUUCAGCUGCUAUGUAACAUGUGUCAUGCGUUGGUGACUUGUACACCUAUUGGCAAUCUGUAAAAAGGAAGUAAGGAGUUUGGAAAUUACAAUACCAAAGUAACAAAAUAACAAAAUAUUUGUUUUGCCCAAAAUUUGUUUUUUAACCAAUAAAAAUGCUCUAAACAAGAUUGCAGAACUCAUUAAUUUUACGAGUAAAUCUUAUAUAAACUGACAAUAUAUAUACACUAUCACAUUGGAUACAUGACACAUAAACUAAAUUUAAAUUCAGAUAAAUUGUCAUGUAUCCAAUAGGUAUGGUCAGUGUAUAAAAAAUUAAUCAUAAGUUUACAUAUACGAUACAAUACAAAUAAGAUUGUGGACUCUUAUUUGUGUAAUUGACAGUAUUAAAUAUAUUGAUAAAAAAUAUGAGAUCUUUCCUACUGACGGUGUAUAUACUAUCAGCGUUGGAUGAAUAACAAUCAUGUAAAAUUUGAAUUUGACAGAUUAAUCCAAAAAAUAUUACUAGAUUGUGGAACAGCAGUUUGCGUGGACUCGACGCAAUGCUUUUGUAGUUUAGCCCUUUCAAGUUUGGGCCUAGUUCAUCAUACCAAUCGAGCAGCAUCAGUGCAGCAAAGAAGUCCAGGAAAAGAUAUCCAAUUAUGAUAGUCUAGCCGCAUCUUCUAUGAAGAGUCCAAAAAAGCCCAGUCAAACUUUUAACGCGGUACCCAUGGGCCAUGGUAGAACAGGCGAAUAAAAAAAACAAAUGGGAAACGAGAAGCUGUACUGCUGUGAAUAAGAAGGACCGACUUGUACUGCUGUUUCUUUUCUGAUAAAAAAGAACUCUUACUGCUGGCCAAUGAUAGUGGGUUUAUUGGAAAAUGAUGAUUGUACCAUUAUCUGAUGAAAAGUUUAAGAUUUGGCCAUCCACCGAGCUUAAGAGCCGGAUUGGAUUGUUUUUUUUUUUUUUUGAAUUUUUUUUUUGUGAAAAAAAGUAUGAGAGAUAAAAAUGCGAUUCAAAAAUGAGAUCACGAAAAAUAUAAAUUUUUUUUAAAAAAUUAACUAUUCAAACAAUCAUAAAUCUCUCCUUUUUGGAUAAAUUACAUAAGUAUGUGAAAACUGAAUAUCGUCUUAUUUCUCAUAUUUUCUGGACCAUUUGAUAGUUAAUAUUAUGAAAGUGAUACACAGUUUUUUAUACAUAGAUAGGGAUGAUAUAGAUGAGUCCAUGAUUUUCAUCUAUGGUUUAAUAUUCAUACUAAUCGUCUGAGACAUUAUAAAUCAAUUUAUAAUAAAUCGAUAUUAAUGAGGAAAACAAAAGCAAGUUUUCACAAUCCUUUCGCCAAUGAUCUAUUGAAACGUGAGGUGUGUGUGUGUGUUUUUUUUUUGUUAAAAAAAAAAAAAAAUCUUCUCACUUCUACUCACAACCAAUCGUUUCUAAGAAUUUUGAUCAUUGGAUCAACUUCAACUAUCAACAUGAAACACUAUAGUGAAAUUCGCCCAUGUAGAAAAUUAUAAAAAAAAAAAAAAGAAAGAACGUGAUGAUUUCUUCAAUCUCCUCCCAGAUUCGUAGUUCAAUUUUUUAUUUUUGGAGCUGCAAAUAUGCAAUUCUUCACCUGUACUACUGUUUUAACGUCCAAGAGUACGCGUAGACAGAGAAAAGAAUAAUAUUAAUAUAUUUACAACGGAAGUCGUGUGCGAUUACGCGGCAUGACGAAUCAAAAUUUAAGGGUAUUUUAAAAUCCCGAUUCGGCUGACUUCUCCAAUUUAUCUGCGCAGAAUUUUUUAUUUAGCAAUUUUUUUUUCUUCUCCCUCGUCGUCUUUUUCUCAGUCGAUAAAUACCCCACCGACUUGGCAAUUUAAGGCACACCCGUCUAUCCCACGUAUCCUACUUCUAUCUCUCGGCAUUUGAUAAUUUUAAUUCAGUCAUCAGCAAUCAUGUCUCAGGUACUCCCUCUUCUUCUUCUUCUUCCUCUUCUUCUUUCCCUCCGAUUUCUUGUUUGGUAGCAUUCAUGAUUAGUUUUGUAAAUUCAGGUGGAAUCAGGUUGCGAAGCAUAAUCUCAUAGUUUAGCUAAAAGUUUCCCGUUAGUUGCCCUACCCGAAAUUUCUCGAAUUAGAACUGAUUUGGGUGCCCUAAGAUUUAAUCGGGGUAAUUUGCUUAGUUGAAAUUAGGCUAUUUUCCGUGUUCUUGAAAGAUAAUGUGGUUACUCAUCUGUUCUUGAAUAUUUAUGUAUGUAAAAGUGUCUUUUUUUUUUAAAAAUGUAAUACAACGCUUUUCACCGCUAUCAUUUGGUUCUACCGAAGCAUCGAGCAGGCAAUUUGCAGUAAAAUUAGAUGAUCAAUUUAUGUUUUGACUAGCAAGUUCAGUAACUUUGUGUUUAUUCUUCAGUGAUUGGAUGCUUAAUUGCACUGGUCAAGAAAAAAAAGGGAAAUUAUUAUUUCCAAACACUCUAUCUGGAAGUUCCGGUUGAAUUAAGCAUUUCUUUUAGCUAAUUUAUUUGCUGAAAUCUGUAUUUUCCAGACGAUACUUUGGAUUCGACGAUACUGGGGAAGUAGCAUGGGAAUAUAAGCAAUGUUUUACUCGACUUGUAAUUCUGACCUUAAUAUUUCUCAUUUUCCAUGUUUGCAGACUGUUGUCCUCAAGGUUGGCAUGUCAUGCCAAGGCUGUGUUGGAGCUGUGAAUCGGGUGUUAAGCAAAAUGGAAGGUUUGUCAACUUGCCUAUUCUUCAUUUGAUUGUUUGUCAUUGACACCACUGACUUUGAAACUAUCAAUGAGGAAAAUCUGUGCCCCCUGACCAUGUUGAUUAUGCUCUUCGGAUAUGCAAUAUAGCCUUUUGCUGUAAUAUCUUGUCAGAAUUGUGCAAAAUCUGGUGGCCACCUAGAGAAAUUGGUUAGUUAAGUUGGUGCUUGAUUUUACAAAUCAUUUCUCAACUGUCAAAUAAGCCUGUCCCAGAACUUUCAUGUUCUUGUAAAGUAAUAGAAAUGAAGGUUUGUUGAUUGAUUAGUCGUUCAGUGCUUAUUUCAGACUGCAUGGUAGCCGGCUUAAUAAUUCCUGACUUUACACCAGGCCAUAGUUUCAAGUGCUAUUUUGAUCAAAAGAAACUAGUGAUAUUUGCAUUCAGCACUUGGCUGUUUCUUUGUUAAUUGCCAAAAAAAAAAAGAUAGAAGUUUGCCAAUAUAGCGCUGAGAAUUUAAAUACCAUUCAUAUAGCAAGUGAUUCGACUAUAUCAGACUCGUAAACCACUGCAGACUCUGCAGUAUUCUAUUAUUUUUAUCAACUGAUCACAUGUUGAACAUUGUUCUAUAUAUAAUAUUUGACUGUCUUUACUUCUUAUAAAGAUGGAGUGGUCUUGACAUGUUGAACAUUGGUUUACGUAUAAUAUUUGACUUGCGCUUCGUGGUAAUACUUUCAGGCGUGGAAUCAUUUGACAUUGAUCUUAAGGAGCAGAAAGUGACAGUAAAGGGUAAUGUACAGCCUGAAGCAGUCCUUCAGACUGUUUCAAAGACCGGGAAGAAGACUUCUUUCUGGGAAGAAGGAGCAUCAGCUGCACCUGAAUCGAAGCCCGCAGAAACUGUUGCAGCUGCAUAAUUUGGGUCACUAGUGGCCAGAAAGCUGUUGCUUUCACUUAUUAUGUUACUCUUAAGGAGCUAAAAUGUAUGUUACGGGUCAACAAUAAUAAACAUAUACAAUACCUCGGUGUGUGGUGUUCAGUAUUCGCUAAUUAACUGUAAGCUCCGUUUAUCUUUUAUUUGAGAUGUUCGAAUAUUGUUCCAUGCAACAGAAACUAGAAAGUGUUUUGGCUGUCUAAAUUUAUCAAGGUGCCGAUAUUCAUGUUGUAACUAAGUUUUUCAUUUGAUUUUGUGGUAUACUUCCAACAUCAGUAAAUCAGGAACCAAGGGAUACGAAGAGUGUCAAGGUCAUGCGAAACCUUGAAUUUCAUGUAGUGGUUCUUGCUGGUUAGAUUGGCUAAAAAAAAAUGUUGUCGCUCGCUAUUCCCAACCAUAAAAAGCCAUGCAGGACCUUGAUAUUUGGAUUGGUUUUUUCCUCAGCCACCAUUAGUUGUUUCAAUUUUGAGUCACUUGAUUAUGGGGCCGUAGGUAGGAUAUAAUCGAGGACUUGGCUGGUAGUCUUCAAAAAAUCAAGAACCCAUAUGGAAGAUAUUUGCUGCCCAUCAUUUUUAUCUAUGGAUUUGGUCAUCUGCUCCUUUAUCAUUAAAUCCAUCCGUCAGUAUCAUCCUAGGCCAUGCAUAACCUUGUGCGUUAGCUAUAAUAUCAAUGAAUUAACAUGCAUGGGGUGAUAGUGCUUUGCAAAUGCAUUUCUGAUUCAUUUAUUUAUAUAUCUCCAAAAAAAAAAAAAAAGGUUUCGGAAGCGUAGCCAUUGCAAACUUAAAAGUGGAAAAUCGGAAAACGGAAAUAAAUUUGCCGCCUUGAGCUUGGCAUCCAUAGACGCGGCUAACUAACGUAAAAGUCGUACAAAGUCAAAAGAAGCCUUUUGUUUUGGCAAGAAAAAGGCAAGCUUCCAGCCUUGUAUGGCUUUUUUUUUUCUGUUCUUUUCUUUAAUUUGAUUACUUUUUCUCCACGCUUUCACGUACGUGCAGUUUUCAGCUACCAUAAGAGAUACUAAUAUGUCUAAUUGCUUGCAACAAUCCACUGUUUAGAGAAGAAAACAGAAAAAGGAAGUUGUAAGGAAAAGAAAGAUGCCCAUUAAUUCCAUAACAGAACGCCACAAUAGCCAUCAUGCAGUCCUUUGCUUCCCUCUUGCAGAAUUGCGCCAAGCACAAGUCCAUUUUCAGCGGCAAAGCAGUUCAUGCUCAGCUAAUCAGGUCCGGAUUUAUCCCAGAUGUUUAUACAAACAAUCAUUUGCUCUCGAUGUACCUACAGUUGGGGCAGAUGGGCUAUGCUCAAACCGUGUUCGACAUAAUGCCAAAACGAAACGUUAUCACUUGGACGACGUUGAUUUGCUCGUUUUCUCAGAUGGGUCUCUCGGAAAAAGCCUUAAGUUGCCUGAGGUCAAUGGUUCUUGAAGGGUUUUUGCCGAACGAGCAUACUUAUGUUGGUGCUAUAUCUGCUUGUGUUAAUACAAGGGCUGUUAGUAUUGGGAAGGAAAUUCACGGGAGGAUAUAUAGGACUCAGGAUAGUUUGAAUAGCUUUGUCAGUAAUUCUUUGGUUAAUUUUUACGGCAAAUGUGGGUUGUUGAAGUCGGCUAGGCUUGCAUUUGAUGCUAUCUUGGAGCCUAAUUUGGUUGCCUGGGCUUCACUCAUAUCUUCUUGUUUUCAGUGUGGACAGAACGAGGAAGGUUUGAAAUUGUUCUUAAGGUCUUUGAGGGUGGGAAUGACUGUUAACGAGUUCACUUGUUCGAGUGUUCUGGGUGCUUGUACUGUGUUGGAGAAUUUGGAACUUGGGAAGCAAAUCCACUGCCUAAUCGUUAAGUGUUGUAUUCUAAUGGAUCAGUUUGUUAUUACUGGGUUGGUAAAUUUUUAUGCCAAGUGUGGCCAAUUGGAAGCUGCACAUCAGGCUUUUCUAGAGGCUAAUGAGCCACAUUUGUCAGCUUGGACUGCGUUAAUAGGGGGCUGUGUACAACAGGGAAAGGGGAGAGAUGCUAUUUUACUUUUUCAUAGGAUGCUUUCUUCUGGUAUGAAACCAAGUGAGAAAACUUUUGCAUCUGUCUUUGGAGCCAUUGAUGAUGGAAUGGAUGUACGAGUUGGUAAACAACUUCAUUCUUUGAUCAUAAAAUUAGGAUUUGAUUCAUUUACCGUAGUCUGCAAUACAACUUUGGCUUUUUACAUUAAAAGAGGUCUUGUUGAGGAGGCUCUGAAGACUUUUUAUGAGAUGGAUGAAUAUGAUAUUGUCACUUGGAAUGCCAUGAUUACUGGCUUUGUAGGCUCUGGUCAUUAUGAAGGAGCAAUUCAGUUUCUGCGUGACAUGCUUUUUGAGGGUUUUGACCCUAACCUUUAUACCUAUUCUAGCCUCUUGAGCAUUUGUGGGGAUUUACCAGCAGUCCAGUGGGGAAAGCAAAUUCAUUCUCGCAUUCUAAAACCUGGAUUUGAUUCAAAUGUGGUUGUUGGAAGUGCCUUGAUUGAUAUGUAUGCCAAGUGUGGACAUAUGGAUGCUGCUAGGAAAGUUUUUGAUACAUUUCCUUCAAGGAACUUGAUUUCUUGGAAUACCAUGCUGGUUGGCUAUGCUCAAAAUGGGUUUGCAAAGGAAGCUUUGGAGAUCUAUGAUAUGAUGCAAAUGAAUGGGGUUAAACCCAAUGACAUCACAUUUAUUGGGGUGUUGUCUGCCUGUGGUCAUGUAGGCCUUUUACAGGAAGGAUUGUGCCACUUUAACUCCAUGAUUGGAGACUACAGGAUCACUCCAAAGGCAGAUCAUCUGGCCUGUAUGGUCAGUCUAUUUGCCCGCCAUGGACAAACACAAGAAGCUUUUGAUUUCAUAAGGCGUUUUCCAGGAGAGGCAGAUAAAGUUGUCUGGUGCUGUCUUUUGUCAGGCUGCAAAACUAAUAAAGAUGUGGUUUUGGGGAAAUAUGCAGCUGAAAGGGUAUUAAGUAUUGAUCCUGAUGAUACUUCAGUGCAUAUCAUGUUAUCUAAUAUUUAUGCAGGCUUAAGGAUGUGGAAUGAAUUGGCUGAGACUAGAAAAUUGAUGAAGGAGAAGACACUGAAGAAGGACACUGGGUUCAGCUGGACAGAGUUGAAGAACAGGAUAGUUCUGUUCUCUGCAAGUCAAAAUCCACAUCUUGAGCAAAACAGUCUCCAUGAAGUUUUGAGUGGAUUGGCUGCCCAGUUGGUUGAUGAGAAAUAUGUUCCUGAAAUCAUGUUCUCGUUGCAAUGUGGUGAGUAAAUAUCUUGAUUUCAUCUGGUGAUAAACCUUACAAUUUUAUUUGGUGGCCCAUGAAGAAGAAGGUUGUGGAUCAAUAAUUGACCCUUUAGGAAAUUAAAUAUCCAUGGGUAAACUUACUUUCACAUCAUCUUGCAAGGAUUUCUUAAUUUCAGAACUUGGGAAGUAGAUUGAGGGGAUGGUGAACUCUGAAGGUCCUUGGAUGAGAGGUGAAUGAACUUCAAGGCUCGCUCUUUUAAAUUAUGUGGAUAGUCAGCAAUGCAUCCAAUUCGUGGGCCGGCUCCUGUUGACCAUUUCAAACUUACUUGGUGCCCUAGUUGAUUUGAAUUUGCUUCUCUGUUGGACUCAAUCCUCUGCAGUAAUUCUUUGUGAGUAACUUCUGGGCACUGUCAAUUAUUGGAUAGAGUCCUUAUCAAGUUGCUUGUUGGUGGUUUAAUGCUAUAUGUAGAAGAUUCGAAAGGCAGGUCUUCCUCAAUAACAUUGGCUAUCUGAAGUUUAUCGUCUUCAUACUCCUUUGCAUGGGGAAGUACCUGCCUGAUGUAGGAGGAGGUCAGACAUGCAACCAUUACUGCACAUUUUAUUAGUCAAAUAGACUCUAUAUAAAAGGAGUAAUACAGGCAGCAAUGGAAGGUAAUGGCUUAAGCUCAUUGAUAUUGUGGUACAAAUUCUUUGACAGCAAGGUUAGCUCAUGGCAAAAUGCAUCGUUAGUGAAUCAGCAGAGCUGAUAUGGCAUUCUCAUUAACAGAAUUGGGUGAAAAGAUGCUCUAGCUUUUAUACCUGAACCUCUUCAAGAUUGACUCCUUUGUCUUUGAGAAAGGCCAGGAAGAUGCCAAGAUUCUCAUUUGUUGGUCGGUAAUGUCCACUGUGUGUUGAGAUUGACUGAAAUAGAGAUAAAGUAAAGUUUUUGUUUCAUUUCUUAGUGUGUCACACAGAUAAAUGAAAUUCAUAUUCUGUCAUGUUAAAUGAUCCUUUUUUCACGUCUAAACGAGGUAGAUACACACUGUAUACUUGGAAAGCUUAUUUAUAAUAAACUAUCAGUUUACAUUUUUUUCCAUUGCUUGUUUUUCAUUUAAGUCUCUCAAAUUAGUCUGAUGAAACGAUUUGUUUUGGCAACCUUGUGAUGCAUAUAUAAUUGAACAAGUGUUCAACCAUGAAGACUAGCCACUGUAGUGUUACUUAAGUUGUACAUUUCUUAGAAUUUAUUCUUGAAAUUCCUUGUUUCAUCAUGAUUUUCAGACAUGAAUUUUGUGACCGAAGAGCUAACUAGAAGUAUACACAUGCAAUGCAUGCAUGCUGGACCAUACUUAAGACCACCAAACCGUCUCAAAUGAGUUUUACUAUAAAAGCUUUCAACGAAGACCCAGGUUCAUAUCUUUCAUUCACUCAGAUGUGAAAAAUAAUCCUUGACCUCAAAGGGAAAACAAAUGCACGACUCUGUUCCAAUUGCACUCUUCUGACAUGAGACGUGAAUGGACCAUCUUCACUAAUAUAUUGGAUUUUUGGUUUGUGAGGAUGUGUGUGUUUCCCCAUUAUCUAGAAUAAAUAUUAGUACUGCACCUUUACUUUUCCAUGUUCUGCUACAAGUCUCCCUGCAGCUAGAGUGGCACCUCCGGCUAGAAAGCUGGAAUGGUGGAAAUACCCCUUCUUUUUCUUGGCACAGAGAAGCUGAAGUUAGUUGCUUGAUACCAAAGUUAAUGAAGCAUCAACCUAAGAAAUUGUCGACCUUGUUCUAUUAUGAUCUCACCUCAGCAGCAUACAACCUUUUGGAGGCACUCAUCACAAAUAUCCAUUUUGCACGUUUUAAUCCACUAGUUGUGUUGAGAAGAUCUCCAGUUUGUUUGUGUAGAAAAGUACCUUCAGCUAUUACAUAUUCAUAAUGCAACCUCUCUUGCUUGUUUUGGUAACAAGGAAAGAAAAUGAAAAGAGAAACACGUAAAUGUGUCAAAUGUGACAAGUUAAGAGACUAUUUAAAACCUUUAAACCUUGUUUAGCCCUUUUAAUUUCUUUCUUUUUUAUAUUGGCUGGCAGGAGAUAUGGGCAAAAGCAUUCUAGUGGUGUUCUUUUACUCUCGAAUAGUUAAUUGUAAGCCUUAUAAAAAUUGAGAAACUCGAAAUUCAAUAAGCAUUGUACUAACAUCACUCUAUCAUAUUUCCUCUUGAUUACUUUGCAUGUAUUUGUUAACUAUAGCUGAGACAGGGUAAUUAAACUGGAGGAACAUGUUACAGCGAAUAUAUGCACGAGUCUCUGAAGAUAUUGUCAGAAAGGCACCUAUAUAUGCUUUUUUGAUGUGUGAUUUUCCUACCAGGUGUUGAAAAUAACUGAAUGUGUUCCAUAAUUGAUUUCAUAUAUAAUCUAAUCUGAUACUGAGUUCAUACAGGUCCGAGAUAUUUGAUGCAUUGUUGCCGAAGCUUUGAUCUGGGGCAUUCAUCAAGGUCAAGUUUUGUACCAUCUCCAAUGUCCAACCUGCAAAAAGGUAACUAUAAGCUAUCCCACUCAGUGGAAGUAUAAUUAUCUGGGUGCAGCCAUUUCCAAACGAGAUCAAACUAUCAAAACUUGACAGUUCACGACUCCUCUAUUAUAAGUAUUUAGGUGCUUCCACAGUUUCCCUCAUUUGUGGUUUUGAUUAGUGAAGCCUUAUAAGCAACUUAAUUUACCUAAACGAUUACAAUAAUCAGUUUAACAGUUCCAUCUAAGGUACGACUAUUAGAUUAGUCUGAUCUGUUGACUUCUUUAUAAAUUGCUUGGAUGGUAGUGGAAGUCCGAAUUUCAUACAAAUGCCACAUAAGAGGCAAGAAAAGUUUAUUCCAUCUCUGGGUAGGAAGGUUGAGAAGGAAAAUACAAAUCAUAUCGCAUUUAACUGUGAUUUAAGGGCACACUUAGCCAGAGGUGCAUGUGAUGGAGGAUAGAUAUAUUGAUGUGGAAUAAUAUAGGGAAACAUAAUAAGUUGUCCAGUAAAUCUAGUAAGCAGUAGCGGUAAGCAUUAAUGUUAAUUCUCAUUGGCAAGCAAAGACUAAAGUUUAAUGUUAUGACUUACCAAUAGAAAAAUGGCUGUCCUGUAUCUCUUCCAAACCAUUCAUCGUAGUAAAUAUUCAAGUUAUGACCGUACCUAUGCCUUGGAUCAACCUGUGAUCAUGAGGAUGAAAUGAUUAUGACAGUUAACAAUGAUAAUCAUGUAAUACAUGCUGAUGAUGAUAAUCAAAUGCCUGAAUAGAUGAAAAGACUAGGGCUUAUUGAAAGUUUUGUGAUGUGUACUUACAGCUUCAAUCCAAUGUUGAAAAGCUAACUUUCUGGCCUUAUCAUCCUGAGAUAAGCCCUUUCCAACCUACAGAAAAAUAAGAUUCAGCGAAGAACUUCAGAGUUCAGAAGUACAAGGUCGGAGCAGGGGGGGCCUUAAACUUCAAUUUGUACAUCCUAAUGCUUGCCUUUGAAGCAAUUAAGCUGAUCCUAUUCCACCGAGAGGCAGCUGUUUCAGGUUUUGAGAAAUUGAAGAAGGAUAUGGUGCUAUGGUUGAGGCGAGCAUAAUCUAUGGCAUGCCACCUUCAAACAAUACCAUAGCAGGGACAAUUAAGGUAUCAUUGUUAAAUGGUUCUUGAUGACCAUGAACUACAUUUAUGGGUGAAGAACAGAGUGUCAAUGACCUACCAGAGCUCUUCUGCAACAACAGCUGAAUCUGCUAAUUUACGGCGGGUGCGAUAACUCCUAUACACCUUUUGCAGCUUCACUGCUGCUGUUCUGGAUUCGGAAUCAUCAUUUUCUUUAAGUGAUUCUGAGGUUGACAACGAUUGGCCAUUGAGCUCCAUCCGGUGUUGAAAACAGGAGAAAAAUGGACAUCUAUUAUUAUGUUAUAUAGUACUAGCAUUUGGUUGCAGUAAGUUGGUGGUGUUGUUUAAUGAGUAGUUUGACAAAUCAAAGACUUGAAAGGACAGCUAGUAACUUGGUGAACUGUUAAGCAAAGAUGGACGAAGAAAGGACAGUGAGAAUGGAGAAUUAGAGCGAGCGUCUUUUAGGCUUUAGCCUCUGCAAAGACAGUCCACUCUCAAAUUGCAGGGCUUCAUUUCUGAUUUAAGGUUUCUUGUUUCCCUUAGUUUCAAUCUACUGCCGAGUGCUUCUGCAGAAGUACUGGAUGCCUGUUCUACGGUUAUACGCUCUCAACAUUCAAUUAGUGUUAUCAAUCAAGCCAGCAAGUGAUCUCAUUUUACUGCAUAAUCCAGUGGGACCCCAUUCAAGCCACCCGAGUAACAUCAAACACUUUCCCUUUUCUGAUUACUGAGAUUUGGUGGUCCAAUUCCUUAAUGUAGUUUAGGUCAAAAGUUCAACUUCCAACUCCAAGCCUCCAACUAGCUCUUACUCUCCAUAGCCCACCUCAAACCAUUAUACGUUGACGUUUUAUGCGUUUUAUUCUUUAUGGUGCCUGUCUCACCAUACUAUAAAAGGACAAUAUGUCUUUUAAUGCAAGGACCUAAGCGUCGUAAUUGUAGAGAUUAGCUUGCACAAGUGGUGUUGGGAGAAUCAUGAUGGCAUGCUUAAUCAAUUAUUUGGAAUUUGGCAUGUGAGGCCCCAUCUCACAUUGGUGGCAAGAAAGGUUUAUUUUAUAAGCUUCGAUCCAUAAUUAAUUAAAUAAUUUGAGUUAAUAACUUCGCUGAAAAGUUUUUGGGCCACUCUUUAAAUCCAAGCAUUAUAUUUGGUACAAAAUCUAUGAUUUAUGUGUCAUGUUAGGUGAAAGUCACUUCUAAAAUUGAUGCGAGCCACCUUUGGGAUCCACGCAACAAUUUGAAAUAUAAUCAGAUGCUUCUAAAACCCAUAUGGACUUUGGAUUAUGGCCAAAUGCCUCUAAAAGCUCAUAUAAGCCACUUCUGGAGGGGAUCUAUUGAUAGUUUAAUCAAAAUAUAGGAAGGGUAAAAUGUGAUUAACCCUUUGGAUUAUAACCCGACGCAAAAGAAAGGAUUAUAAGCUUGGAUGGGAAGAAAGGAAGACAAGAGGCUACAUGUUUUGGCUUAUAAAUUAGUAAGUAAUAUAAGUUAGAUCAUUUUCAAUCCCCAAUUUUGCUUUCGAAUUGUUGGUCUCUAUCCCUUGAUCCGGACAAGGCACGAACUCAAUCAGAUUCGCUACUUACUCACAAUAACUGAUAAAUUUGGUCAACUAACGAGUUAGUCUUUACGGUCUACUGGGAAAAAAAAAUUUCAUGGUAAAAUGUACUCGAACAAACGAUUACGAUAAUGAUACUAAACAACAUCAGGCAACGCAAGGAAAAAAAAGAAAAAAGAAAAAAAGAAGGAUAUCUGAUUUACUGCGCAAAUGAGCAGGUAUACCGCCAGUACCAGCAAGCACAAAAAGAAAUGUAUCGUGAUAUUGCCAUUUAUUUUGGCUUCUUGAAUUUGCAUGAUCGGAGUUUUGCUAAAUCCAGCAUAAGAACUUGGUGCAAGUGUUUUAAAUUUUUCUCUGAAUUCACUGAGAUGUACAACCACCAAGAAGGAAAAUGAAGAAUGACAAUGGAGCUGAGACAAGCAACCGAGGGAGUUCCGAUGGUCAACAUUGAGAUUUGAGCCUGCCUUCAAUCGUUCAGGUACUUCUACCUAUUUGAUAACCCUGUUGCCUGGAAAGAUGACUAAGGAUAAAUGAGGUCCAAUUAUAUGUGAUGGGUAUUUGAACCCUCAUCUUGCAAAUGGAAGGGACCGGUAGGAUGAAGAUAAUACAUAGUUUUCCUUCUAGCUAUCAUUACUACUACAAAACGGGCUUUUGGUGAAAAUGUUUGUAAACGAAAGCCUUCUGUUCAAGAUUUUCAUGAUUAUUUUCCGGUUAAAACCUCUAGGAAAAGUCUAUCAGAAAUUAGAAUAUCGUUUUCUAAGUUUUCCUGAUGAAUAUGUAAUGUAUAGAUACGAUGGUACUGGUGUUUCUGGAGUCCUCUCCACCAAGUCGCGCAUUAUCUGGAAGAACAGCUUGGCUACUCAGUGCUGAAAGUGUGCUUGCACGGAUACUUCUUUCUCUUCCCGUUGCGCAGUGGUUUGAACAGUGAUCUUUAGAUUCGGUGGAGUUGAGAACAUUGAAUCCUGACUGUUCUUCUGGAGUUGUCAGAAACUAAGUCUAGCGAUUGCGUGUAAACACGCAUUCACAGGUGCAUAGUUACGGCGCGUAGCUAGUAAGAUUUUAAUUUAGAUUUGGUUUGAGGAUUGUUAUACCUUGUGUGUGAAGACUUCUAGAUUUAAAAAAUGCAAGUGUUUUAAAGGCAUGAUCUGUAAAGAAUAACUACGCCUAUAGAAAAAGUUUUCGUCUUUCUGAUGUCUGCAAAAGAGGUGAUCACACUUGAUAGUUGGUAAUCAAUGUUUGUAUACAUGUAUGCAUAUCAGUACACAUAAACCUAUGCAAUAAUUGAAAAACUUUCAUCCUUGAAGUAUUAAAACACAGACAAUUCAGUAAUAUUCUACAGAAGCAUCAUAAUGAUCAGAACUGGAGACCAAAUCCUUGUUAUUGGUUGGCUGGGGAACGUGAGGCGGUUCUGUACGUCUCAACAGAGCCCAAUUCACCCCGUCAAAGAAUGGAUGGUUCUUGAUUGCUGUAGCCCCCAUUGUGGAUCCCAUUCUCUUUGUGGGGUUCUUGAUCAAGAGCUUAGCCAUCAAAUCCAUGGCCGAGCUGGACACAACAGGCUCCUUGGGGAAUUCAAGGGAUCGAGCCACAAUGUUGGACAGGGUAAACUCAUUAUCAAGCCCCUUAAAUGGUGUCAAACCAUAAAUUAACUCAAAGAUGAAUAUCCCCAGUGUCCACCAAUCCACUGCACUGCCAUGCCCUUCCCCUGAUACAACUUCCGGGGCUAAGUAUUCAUGGGUGCCCACAAAAGACAUCGAUCGAGCCUCGAUUGGCUCUGCCACUAUCUCGAGGGCCCUCCUCUGAUGACCUUGCCGCCUCUUUCUCCUCCGCUUAUUCUGGAAACAUGAAACUGCUGGCACCAUACAUCUGGGUAGAAUGCAAUAUGACUUGGAAGAUAGGUUUGCCUCGACUGUACAAAUCUUCGAUUCACCGAUGUUCAGUGUUAAUGGGGAGCUUUCAGGAACAAGUUGAGCCGUUGGUUUCGAAUUGUCACAUUUUAGGGAGAGAUCAAAAUCUGUCAACAUUAUGUGACCAUCUGUUCUUACGAGAAUGUUUUCGGGCUUCAGAUCACGGUAGAUUAUCCCUUUCAUGUGUAGAUACUCUAAAGCAGCCACCACCUCUGAUGCGUAGAACCUAAAUAGUAUUAACAAGCAAAUUAGUGAAAAUGUCAACCAUUUGUAGCUAACUGAGUUUUGUUGAGUACUAAACAGAGUUAAUGAUUAUUUUUAAGACAAGAAUUUGGCUGUAUUAGUUUACAAAGUCUGCAAACACGAUUCCCUUUACAAAAAGAAACAAAAGUAC